CGAGAGCCAAACGUCCCCCUCCGCUUGUACAAGCUAUUGUAUGCAGGCCAAUAGGCAUCACAUGUUUGGGACACAAUGCAUAUACAUAUUUGAAGAAAAUAUACAUCUUUAAACAGUACGCUAAAAAACAUAUUUAAAAUAACAACCUGGUAUACUAUCUCUAGUCCAUAAUAUCAAUCCCACGAUGAUACACAAGAGUGAUAAAACUCGAGAAAUCUUUAAUAAAAUCAUAUCAUACUUGAUCUCAUCUGUUAAAACAGUAGAGGCUUGUUUGAUUGCGCGCAUAAGGCUCAAUUAGAUCCUCGCGGAAAGGAAACGGACUGAUUGGCUGCCCCGCGUAUACCUGCAUGGCACGAACUUUAAAGCAUCUCCAAGCCAGGACACGCAACUACGUGUGAAUAAGUAGUUUCUAGAGAGCUAGUCCAAGAAAUGCACAACGAAUGCACACGAAUAGGCCCCUUGCACGAGAGGUGGCUCGAGGGAUGCAAGCUGUGUUCGUGCUUCUUCUUCUACCAACACUAAGCUUGUUCCUAACCUUCUUUUCCUUCUUCCCUCUAAUCUAUUCGUGAUAAGUUCAAGACAAAAAAGAUGCACAUCGAUGAUAUGGUUUCAUUUUUGUGAUCGGUUCAUAGUUCCGUCCAUCUUAAAUACUCAAUUUUGUGUUCACAUUUGAAUCUAUUUUGGAAGGAUUUUUUCAAAUUUUCCGUGCAUGGUCGACCAUUUAAAAUUUUCUUUCACCGACAGCUUCAUAACGUAGUUCCACAAGACAUUCGUGUUGCAAGUUUUAUGUUUCAAGGUCCUAUGACGCCGUCAUGACAUGCACACUGUAUUUUUUCUCCUCUGUCCUAUGCCUCAGAACCCUCCUAUUCAUUCCUUUUGUCGUACGCACCAUUCCUGUGGACCUCCUACUACACUUGGCCUCCUCUCUCUCGUCCUACUACACUAGCGCCGCCAUGACGCACACACUGUAUUUUUUCUCCUGUGUCAUCUGUCUCAGAACCCUCCUAUUCACCCCUUUAGCUGGCGGCAUUGUUUCUCUUGACCCCCUUGCCCGCAUCUUACUACAAAGGAGUCGUUUUUGACGUCAGUCAUCUUGGCCUCCUUUCUCGUCCUACUGCAC
rnacentral:lncRNA from 1 species